GGAAGUACUUUCCCCUGAGGGCUGUGCUUGUUGAGCACAGAAAGCUCUGGAGCAUUUCAACGAGGCCUCUUUCCUCCCCCGGCCUGGGAGCGGGAGGGAGCUGAUUUCUGAUGCUGGCUCCGAGGACCCGGUAAAGCCCCUGGAAGCAAAACCCGGAAGAGUGGGGGGUUCUCCCAUCCCUGGGUCCCCUGAAGAUUCUCACUCUCAGAACAGUCCACACUGAGCCUCUGGCAGUUUGUCAAGACCUCACCUUUACCUGCCCAGGUGCUGGAUCCACGGAGGUGUCUGCUCCUGUAUCUAUGUGUAUUUCACAUGGUGGAGAGAAUGAAGGGCAUUUGCAAAGCAUUUGGCUUCCUGAUGAGAGAGAGUUGCCUGGGCUGUCCUUUUCUUCUUUCUGCGUUGGACUAAGACAUCAUACCAUUUUGCAACCCCGAGAGGGAGGCCAAGAGAAUCGUGGAGCCAUUGGCCCUGCUAUUGAUGAGCUGCUGAAAUAACACCUGCCUCCAGAAUUCUUGGAAGAGAGUUAGCGUUGAGUUAGGAAAAUCCGCAUUUGACCUCUGCAUUUCGGAAGGUCAGAGGAAUAUUACAUGUUACUCUGAAAAUGUCCUCGGCACAGCAGUCUGCGGAUAGUUCAGGCAAAUUUAAGAGCUCAGCCCAGCCCGGACAAAGCGCACAUUGACGGAGCGGGAGGAAAGGACCCUGCAGCCCCCAGACGCCCUUUGGGGGGUGGACGCCCCAUCUCACAGAGAAUUCCUAGGGAAGAAGGAAACUGCUUUUGUUGCAAUACCGCAGCGAGGAGAAAGAAAAAAGGAGGCUCAGUUUGGACGAGAUAAAAGUAAGGUUUCUAGACUCACACGAAGAAUUCCCCUGGAGGUCACUUUUAGAGGCUAAAUAUAACAUCCUCAGAGAUUACCUAUGGCUUCCUCUACAAAGCUGGGACUGCCGCUUCCUCGUUUUAAGAAAGAAAAUAGAAAAGAGAAGUUCUGGUUUAAAUGCUGCAUCUGCGUUACAGACUGGGUCACUGAGGAGCUUUUCUCUCAAAAUUAAAAAAUUGGGGGGCAACUUGAAGUGAAUUAUUUCAAGGAUGUCCUACCGUCUGGGGGACUCAAGCUGAGGUGAACAGUGGCUGUGGCAUCCUUUUAAAAAUGCAAGCCACGGAGUUCCCGUCGUGGCGCAGUGGUUAACGAAUCCGACUAGGAACCAUGAGGUUGCGGGUUCGGUCCCUGCCCUUGCUCAGUGGGUUAGCGAUCCGGCGUUGCCGUGAGCUGUGAUGUAGGUUGCAGACGCGGCUCGGAUCCCGCGUUGCUGUGGCCCUGGUGUAGGCCAGUGGCUGCAGCUCCGAUUCGACC